rnacentral:rRNA from 1 species
UGCAGCGACGCCGCGUGAGGGAUGACGGCCUUCGGGUUGUAAACCUCUUUCAGCAGGGAAGAAGCGAAAGUGACGGUACCUGCAGAAGAAGCGCCGGCUAACUACGUGCCAGCAGCCGCGGUAAUACGUAGGGCGCAAGCGUUGUCCGGAAUUAUUGGGCGUAAAGAGCUCGUAGGCGGCUUGUCACGUCGGUUGUGAAAGCCCGGGGCUUAACCCCGGGUCUGCAGUCGAUACGGGCAGGCUAGAGUUCGGUAGGGGAGAUCGGAAUUCCUGGUGUAGCGGUGAAAUGCGCAGAUAUCAGGAGGAACACCGGUGGCGAAGGCGGAUCUCUGGGCCGAUACUGACGCUGAGGAGCGAAAGCGUGGGGAGCGAACAGGAUUAGAUACCCUGGUAGUCCACGCCGUAAACGGUGGGCACUAGGUGUGGGCAACAUUCCACGUUGUCCGUGCCGCAGCUAACGCAUUAAGUGCCCCGCCUGGGGAGUACGGCCGCAAGGCUAAAACUCA